GUCUAUGGCCAUAUCAUCCUGAAUGCACCCAAUUUUGUCUGAUCUGGGACGCUAAGCAGGGUCAGGCCUGAUUAGUACUUAGAUGGGAUUCCGCCUAGGAAUACUAGGUGCUGUGGGCU
rnacentral:rRNA from 1 species